rnacentral:sRNA from 19 species
UCGGGGCUUCGGCCCGACAGAUUGGGCGUCGCAGAGACGCUGCGACGCUGCUUGUAACCCAUGUUGCUUUACGGAGGAUAUGGCUAUGAGAA